rnacentral:rRNA from 1 species
UACGUAGGGUGCAAGCGUUAUCCGGAUUUAUUGGGCGUAAAGUGUAUCGUCGGUGUUCUGACAAGUUUCUCGUUCAAGCCCAAGGCCUAACUUUGGAAAAGCGAGAAAAACUGUUGGAAUUGAGUAUGUUCGGGGGAACUGGAACACUCGGUGGAGGGGUGAAAUCCGUAGAUAUCGAGUGGAACACCAAUCGCGAAGGCAGGUUCCUAGGGCAUUACUGACACUCAUGAACGACAGCUAGGGGAGCAAAAGGG